UAAUGUUAAUCCCAUCAGCUCCCAACUAAUCAAACAGGUUUAUAUUCUAAGUGGUAUGUCAGACAUUUGAUGUUGAGGGGCUUGGGUUAUGUGCAGUUUGGGAGAACAUGAAAAGUGUAUCAAUUAAGAGACGCCAACAAGAUCAUUCUUAGGUAUUUAAAAUACAUAGGUGGGUCCAUUGGACAUUGCUGGACAAAAAAGCCUCCAUAACCACUUAACCUGCCCCUAAACAAUACAAUUUUAUACCUUAAUUUUUAUACAUUUUAAAUCACAAUGAAAUGAAAACUAACAAUCUAUGUGCUAGUAUCUGUAUAUGUUUAUAAAAUAAUGUUUUAUGUAUUUUAGACAUGGAAACGCUCUUAUGGCUUUCUGGAUUGAAUCGAACACCUCUGAAUUUACUUAACUUUUUCAGAAGAGAGACAGAACUGUAAGACAGAGCUCGAUAUUACUGAAAAAGUAAACUAGUGGCAGUAAAUGUCAAAAUUCCUCUUCAUAUGGCAUCUCUAAUUAUAAAUUGACACUACUGAAGCAUUGACAGCUUCCAUGAUAUUGCAAGCAUCCUCAGGCUCUUGCAGCUGCAGCCUAAUCUCUACCCUCUCUCCUCCAUUUGUUUUUCCUUCCUGACAUUUGAUUAGUCAACAGUGCUAGCUAGCGCUGGUGUUCCCCCGAGCCACCCUCCAGUUCAAAAUCCAGAGCGCUUCACGCUGCCCUGGAAGUGGGUAGGGAGAGCGGCCUUGGCUUUCAGAGUGAGAUCUGCAUUUAUCAAUCACACCGCAGCUGCUUGGGAACUGGCCUUUGCAGAGGUGAAGUUGGUCUGCUCCCUGGGAAAAAAGGAAAGCCGUUUGCGAUGAAAAUGGAGGCGAAACAAUUUAGGCAGCUGGCAAGGCUUCUGAGAACUGGAAAGAUUGGAUUUCCAGGGCUUGCACAAUGCAGCAGAGAUGGUUUAAAUCUGUGAGAAGCAGACAGGAGAACAGCUUCAGGUCAGUUUAAAAAUGGAAUCUGGGGAGCUCUUCUGCAGAGAAAAUCACACAGGCUGAAUCAUACUGGGGGAGUGAAUAGGGAAAAGCCUGGUUCUGGGGGCCUCGUUUAAAGAGAAAUAAAGACAGUAAAGACGACUCAGCCUCUAGCACAGCUUCAAUUAAAGCCUGUGUGGAUAUAUGCACGGCUGGCGGGAACCUCUGCAGGAACCAAUAACUCGUCCCACCCUUCCAUCGAGUUCCUUCCGCUGUGUCAUCGUGCCUCUCUGAACCUCCCCUGUGAAAUCCUCUCCCACAGUGGCCUCUGAAGAAUCAGCACCAUAGCAUCUCUGAGGAGCUGAUCAGAAAUGCAGAAUCACUGCUGCCACUCGGAUGAACUGAAGUGGCACCAUUCUCCCUAGACAUGUGUAUGACUCUAGGGCACAUUAAAGUUUGAGAUGCACCGCGUUACAACAGACAGUGCUCUGUCUGCAAGAGAGAGCGAGAGCAAGAGACUUUACUUUUGCAUUUCGCAGCAACGGCAUAUAGAUUAGGAGUAACCAUCAUGUUUUAUUCUCUCUGCAAAUACUCAUUUAGCACAGAUGGCUCAGUAGGUGAAGGUGUUGACUACCAAGAUUGAUGACCUGCGUUCAGUCUUGAGAGCCACACAGUGAAAGGACAGAACUAGAGAAUUGACUCUCAAGUGUCCCUUGGCAUGUGAAGAUGCUCCUCUGCAUUCACACAGUUACAGCUUUGUGUAGUUUGUCUCUUCCUCGUGCUCUACUCUAUCGUAUUAGAAGUCUUUCACCAUGUGGAAACCAAAAUGAUACUUCAAACUUAGCUCCCGAUCUAACAGAAUUUGUUGUACUCUCUGAAACUGGUACCCACAGUAAACUCCCAAGUGUCUACUACAGGAAACAACACAUUCUUCUCCAUUGAAGACCACUGGAGCAUACCACUGUGGUUACCGGUAGACAUCUAGUGCCUGAUAAUUCUGAGCCCAGCUUUCAAGAAUGCUGCCUUUUUGUUAUCAACUUGGAAAGUUACUCAUUUUCUUUAUCUUGGAAAUGUUGAUGCUGGUAUGUCUGUAAUCUUAUAGAGAGUAGAUAAGACACUUGGUGAUAAGCUGUAAAAAUUAUCACUGCUGGUAACAGUACUAUUAUUACAAUUCCUAAAUCCUAAAGGUACAUUUUUCUGACCCAAAUCUAAGUAAUGACUAAUUAGAUUUAUAAUUAGGUCAUCUGACAAAGAUUGACAAGGAAGCAAACCUCCAAAAUAACUGAAAACUACAACAAAGUAAUAGAAAACCCCCUGGCAUCUAAAUAUAGUCAUUCAUCAACAUAAUAAGGGAAAAUUCUGAACUUAAUUCUUUGAACUUAAAACUAUUCAAAAAAGGUAGUAACAUUGCUUUCCCUAUUGAAGAGAAUGGAGAAAUCUGAACAAGAAGAAUUGUGCAUCCAAAGCUCAGAUUCUAAAAAGAGUAAAUUCUCCCUUCCUCCAGAAAAGUGGUUCUCAACCUUCCUGAUGCUGUGAUCCUUUAACACAGCCCCUCAUGUCGUAGUGACCCCCAACCAUACAAUAAUUUUUGUUGCAACUUUGUUACUGUUAUGAACAGUAACAUAAAUAUAUAAUAUGCAGGAUAUCUGAUAUGUGACCCUGUGAAAAGGUCAUUUGACCCCCAAGCAGGUCACAAUCCAAAGACUGAGAACCACUAUUCUAAAUGCUAAAAUAUUAGGAUUUAAAUAGGCUAUGAAAAUCAACAACUACAGUGUGAAAUACUGUCACAUUGAACUAACCUAAGAAAUACUUUCAAAGACAAUACUUUAAAGGAAGGAGUUUGUACAUGUGCGUUUCAAAUCUUCUCAAGCACAAAAUAGAGAAAUGACAGAUGGAAACAUGAAUUAUCAAACCACUUUCUGUACAAAAAUAAACUCUUGAACUUUUGUGUUUUGUUUAAUAGAAAAUCUUUUCUUUCUUGACUUGAUUAUGACCUCAGACAUAGAUCAGAACCUGACUUGGUUAUGACUCAGACAUACACCAGAACCUGAUGCAUAUCAAAAAACAAUUCCAGGUGGAAACUUUGAGGAUGUGAAAAAAACAAAAACAAAAACCCACAUGAGUGACAUUUAAAAUGCUUGACAUUCCUUAGCAUAAUACUCAACCACAUGGAGAUUUCAUGCACUUUUCUCUUGGUUCCUCUGCACACUCAGGUGAGUACAGCUCUUCCCUAUAAUCAAGCCGCCCUUCCAAGAGGACAAUUGUGACUGUCCAUUUAACACAAAAUUCACUUAACCUAGGUCUGUUCAGAUAGUGUUUGCUUGGUGGGUGUGGUGGCGUACUGGAAAGUGUGGGAGAUGAAAGAAAAGUACAAGAUGUUGGCAAGCAGAAUCCUGAUCAAGCAUGUCAGUCGCAGGGACUCUCUGAAGGAAGUCAACGGGGAGCCUAGUUCAUGGCCAAUAGUCUAAGAAAUGUCUUUGCAAGUAAAUUGCAUGGCUCAAGAAUGUGCUAAUCUCACUAUGAGUUGAGUCAUAAUUAAAAAUUCUGUACCACUAAAUUGCACAAGGAGGCAUUGUAAGUAGAAGAAUUUUCAUUUAUCUAUCUAUCUAUCUAUCUAUCUAUCUAUCUAUCUAUCUAUCUAUCUAUCUAUUUAUUUAUUUAUUU